GCCUGUGUAGCUCAGUGGUAGAGCACUUGACUUGUAAUCAAGGGGUCGGGAGUUCAAAUCUCUCCACAGGCU
rnacentral:tRNA from 1 species